rnacentral:rRNA from 1 species
ACUCCUACGGGAGGCAGCAGUGGGGAAUAUUGCACAAUGGGGGAAAUCCUGAUGCAGCCAUGCCGCGUGUGUGAAGAAGGCCUUCGGGUUGUAAAGCACUUUCAGUAGGGAGGAAGGUAGUGUAGUUAACACCUGCACUAUUUGACGUUACCUACAGAAGAAGCACCGGCUAACUCCGUGCCAGCAGCCGCGGUAAUACGGAGGGUCCGAGCGUUAUCCGGAAUUAUUGGGUUUAAAGGGUCCGUAGGCGGGCCGGUAAGUCAGGGGUGAAAGUCUGUAGCUCAACUAUAGAACUGCCUUUGAUACUGCCGGUCUUGAGUCACGGUGAAGUUGCCGGAAUAUGUGGUGUAGCGGUGAAAUGCAUAGAUAUCACAUAGAACACCGAUUGCGAAGGCAGGUGACUAACCGUGUACUGACGCUGAUGGACGAAAGCGUGGGGAGCGAACAGGAUUAGAUACCCUGGUAGGAAAGCG